rfam:Dipodomys ordii contig_7111, whole genome shotgun sequence.
GGGAAGGUGGCUCAGUGGUAGAGUGCUUGCCUUGCAUGCAUGAGGCCCUGGGUUCGAUUCCUCACCACCACA